rnacentral:rRNA from 1 species
AUUGAACGCUGGCGGCAUGCCUUACACAUGCAAGUCGAACGGUAACAGGUCUUCGGAUGCCGACGAGUGGCGAACGGGUGAGUAAUACAUCGGAACGUGCCCGAGAGUGGGGGAUAACGAGGCGAAAGCUUUGCUAAUACCGCAUACGAUCUCAGGAUGAAAGCAAGGGACCGCAAGGCCUUGCGCUCACGGAGCGGCCGAUGGCAGAUUAGGUAGUUGGUGGGAUAAAAGCUUACCAAGCCGACGAUCUGUAGCUGGUCUGAGAGGACGACCAGCCACACUGGGACUGAGACACGGCCCAGACUCCUACGGGAGGCAGCAGUGGGGAAUUUUGGACAAUGGGCGCAAGCCUGAUCCAGCCAUGCCGCGUGCAGGAUGAAGGCCUUCGGGUUGUAAACUGCUUUUGUACGGAACGAAAAGACUCUGGUUAAUACCUGGGGUCCAUGACGGUACCGUAAGAAUAAGCACCGGCUAACUACGUGCCAGCCGCCGCGGUAAAAC